UAUUAGACACAAUGGCUAGCGAGGGAGCUAGAACAUGAAGAGAUGUCACCAACAUAUUCUUUUUAUGCCUCUGAUAGGAUCUAUGUUAACUUGGAGGGGAUCCCCAGAGUUGAGGGGGAGAAAAUGACCUGAUAACUGAGACUGUAAAGCUUCCCAGAAGUUAAAGAAGCUUGGGGGUUUCAGGACUUGUGGCAAGGCAAAAGCAUCAUGGCGAAAGGGUGCCAUGGGGCGAAGCUGUGUACUUUGUAGCUGUGGAGAAACAGAGCCUAGGAACAGCACCAGAGAGGUCUACGCCUUCCAGCAACCGGUCCCCAGUGUCUCCAAUUACCACGCUUUAUACUUUUAUAUUCUCUCCACAAACAUUUUAAUCUAUGAAGAAGACAAAAGAGAAGACGCAAGAGGGAAAACAGGAGCUUCAAGCCCUGUUUUUCCACUCUGGGGAGCAGAUUUUAAAUGUGUUCCAUUCAAGGAUGCCAUCUUAACUACCUGCACUGGCAUGAAAUUCAAGAGCGUAUUGAGUUUUCCUUUUCAAAGGAGAAUCUGCUAAAUGAAGUUAGGAUUUUCAUGUGUAUUCCAGCCCCUUAAACUUUGCUCCCAGCAUCAAAUGCCGAAACACUGCACAGCACAUAAACAUCUUUGUUCUGCUGAAAAUGAUAUUACUCGGGUCAAAAUGUCUCUAUGGCAUAUUUCCUACUCAGGAAACAUUUCCAAGAAGGAACGUGAACUACACUUCCAGAAGCUAAAGUGAAGUAUCUUUGCUAUGAAAAAGCACAGAGUUUCUCUUUGUUUAUAGGUAAUUCCUAUCUUUAUAAUUUUCUAGCUUCAUAUAACUUUGGAUAAUGUGUUUAGCAAAGA